UGCUGUAACCAGUGCUGAAUAAGCUCACCAGC
rnacentral:piRNA from 1 species